rfam:Mustela putorius furo unplaced genomic scaffold scaffold00038, whole genome shotgun sequence.
GUCUAUGGCCAUACCACCCUAAAUGUGCCCGAUCUCAUAGGAUCUUGGAAGCUAAGCUGCAUCAGGCCUGGUUAAUACUUGGAUGGGAAUAAAGAACGUACCCACCAAAGGAAUUACAGGGCAAUACAUACU